GACGAACGCUGGCGGCGUGCCUAACACAUGCAAGUCGAACGGAAAGGCCCGGCUUUUGCGGGGUGCUCGAUUGGCGAACGGGUGAGUAACACGCGUGUAACCUGCCCUUGACUUUGGGAUAACUUCAGGAAACUGGGGCUAAUACCGGAGAGGACCUCCUGCUGCAUGGUGUGGGUUGGAAAGAUUCGGCCGUUGGGGAUGGACUCGCGGCUUAUCAGCUUGUUGGUGGGGUAGUGGCUUACCAAGGCUUUGACGGAUAGCCGGCCUGAGAGGGUGGCCGGGCACCUUGGGCCUGAGGUACGGCCCAGACUCCUACGGUAGGCAGCAGUGGGGAGUAUUGCACAAUGGGCCGACGCGUGAUGCGGAGGCUCCGCGUGCGGAAUGACGGCCUUCUGGUUGUCAACCGAUUUCGCCGGAGCCGAAGCGUGCGUGACGGUAAUGGGUAAAGAAGCACCGGCUAACUACGUG
rnacentral:rRNA from 1 species